AGCACGCCUACCCUGUAGCAAUGGAGAUGAGCUAUGUCCCCGCCAGGUGACCGGUGAAUGGCACACCCAGCAGCCCAGUGCUGUCAGCUGUGAGUGACCUGCACAAGGAAGACACCAAAGAAGCACCUUACUGAGGACAGAAGAGGAAACACAAGAAGCAGCGCCUGGUGCAGAGCCCAAUCCCCACUCCAUGGGUGUGCAGUGCCUAGGAGGCUGUAACACCACCAGUCUUUAGCCAUGCACAAACAGAAGUUUUGUGCGCUGGCUGCUCCACUGGCGUCCGCCAGCCUACAGGAGGAAAAGCGAGGCUUACAGAAGGAUGUUCCUUCAGGAGAAGCAGCACUA